UAACCUGCCUUGGAGUGGGGAAUAACAGCUGGAAACAGCUGCUAAUACCGCAUAAUAUAUCUGGGUCGCAUGGCUCUGGAUAUCAAAGAUUUAUCGCUCUGAGAUGGACUCGCGUCUGAUUAGCUGGUUGGCGGGGUAACGGCCCACCAAGGCGACGAUCAGUAGCCGGACUGAGAGGUUGGCCGGCCACAUUGGGACUGAGACACGGCCCAGACUCCUACGGAAGGCAGCAG
rnacentral:rRNA from 1 species